UACGUAGGGUGCGAGCGUUAAUCGGAAUUACUGGGCGUAAAGCGUGCGCAGGCGGUUAUGUAAGACAGUCGUGAAAUCCCCGGGCUCAACCUGGGAAUUGCAUCUGUGACUGCAUAGCUAGAGUACGGUAGAGGGGGAUGGAAUUCCGCGUGUAGCAGUGAAAUGCGUAGAUAUGCGGAGGAACACCGAUGGCGAAGGCAAUCCCCUGGACCUGUACUGACGCUCAUGCACGAAAGCGUGGGGGAGCAAACAGG
rnacentral:rRNA from 1 species